rnacentral:misc_RNA from 1 species
AUAGAAUUAGGGAUUAGACUUUGCUAAUGGUGUUGUAAUUUUGUUGGAUGUCAAAUUUUUUCCACUUUCUAUAUUUUCUUUCUUUUAUUAAAAAGAAUUAGUAGCCAAUCCCCUUGUGUGGGAUUCUUAUACAUGUUGGUUUCUCAAUCACCAAUGCUAUAGAUGGAGCUCAAUUGGGGCUUUAGAGUUAGACAUGUAAUUGCAGCCGACUUACCCUGAUACCAACAAUCCAGUCUAUAGAAUUAGGGAUUAGACUUUAUCAUAUGGAGAAAGAGUGUAUUCAACUUGAUCACUGCAAAUUUUAGGUUUUCAGAAUUCAGGAAAGAAUUAAUUUGAAGAUAUUUGAAGAUUAGG